UUGACCAAUUUGACCCUGAAACCCUUCUCUGCACAUCAUCGCUGUACACCGCCGCCUGCAAGCCACCGACAACCUGUCCCACUCCGAGUGUGUCUCGCCGUCGCAUCGCCGCCGCAAGACGCUACCACCGCCAACAAGCUGUCCUCCACCGCCUCAUUUCCUCUAUAAAUAGGAACCGACCUGCAAUAAUUCCGGCCAACAAAAAUAAUUCCAAAAAUCCAAAACCAACACCGCCCUCCACCGUGUCCCACCACUGCAACCACCGCUAGCACCACAGAAGGCCCCAAUCGUUUCUCCGCUACUUCUCCGGCGACACCCGCUUCCCAGGUCGUUUCACUUUCGAAGCUAAGGUUGUCACGACCCCCUUAAAGAACAAGUCUGACGUUAUUGUGGAUCAUCUUUUGAGGUUAUGAUAUUUCUGACUUGUUCACAGGAUAAUCAGGGCGGGGUGUGAAAGAGAGAAGAAUUAGCU
rnacentral:lncRNA from 1 species